CGGACUUAGCGGCGGACGGGUGAGUAACGCGUGGGAACAUACCCUUUGGUACGGAAUAACCAUCGGAAACGGUGGCUAAUACCGAAUACGCCCUCCGGGGGAAAGAUUUAUCGCUGUUGGAUGAGCCUGCGUCGGAUUAGCUUGUUGGUGAGGUAAAAGCUCACCAAGGCGACAAUCCGUAGCUGGUCUGAGAGGAUGACCAGCCACACUGGGACUGAGACACGGCCCAGACUCC
rnacentral:rRNA from 1 species